CAUGCGCCUUCGCUUUCUCUCAUCAACCGAGUAAACCACCCGGUUUGAGUUUGAGUUUGAGUUGGAACCCUCCAAACCGGAGUCUGGGCUACGGGUGGGAGACUCAAAUAGGGAUAAGAGUUCUUGAAUUUCACUGGCAGUGAACCCGGUUUCAAGAACCGGGUAUUGGAGUUGGACCGCAUCUUGGGGAAAGAACAUGGCGAUGACUCGGGAGAGCAAAUAUGAGAAAACCGGUACUUUAACACUUAUCUUUGAAAGUGAACCGGAGGGAGGAAAGAAG
rnacentral:misc_RNA from 1 species